rnacentral:rRNA from 1 species
GGCGAAAGGGUGCGUAACACGUUGGUAAUCUACCGUGAAGUUGGGAACAACCUGCCGAAAGGUAGGCUAAUGCCGAAUGUGGGUCACACUGGAUAACUGGAGUGGCCUAAAGCCGGGGACCGCAAGGCCUGGCGCUUUACGAUGAACCUGCGGCCUAUCAGCUAGUUGGUGAGGUAACGGCCCACCAAGGCGAUGACGGGUAGCUGGUCUGAGAGGACGACCAGCCACACUGGAACUGAGACACGGUCCAGACACCUACGGGUGGCAGCAGUCGAGAAUCUUUCACAAUGGGGGAAACCCUGAUGGAGCGACGCCGCGUGGGGGAUGAAGGGCUUCGGCUCGUAAACCCCUGUCAUUCGUGAGCAAAGCAGACAGGUGAAUAAUCUGUCUGUCUGAUAGUAGCGAAAGAGGAAGGGAUGGCUAACUCUGUGCCAGCAGCCGCGGUAAUACAGAGGUCCCAAGCGUUGUUCGGAUUCACUGGGCGUAAAGGGUGCGUAGGUGGUGGCGUAAGUCCGAUGUGAAAUCUCCGGGCCCAACCCGGAAAGGUCAUCGGAAACUACGUUGCUUGA